rnacentral:sRNA from 1 species
GCAGGUCGGCGGCGGCGGCAGGAGAGCGGCCGGGCGUCAGCUCCUCGACCCCCGUGCCGGGCUAGUCCAGCGAGGCGGACGGGCGGCGUGGGCCCAUGGCCAGGCCCGGCAUGGAGCGGUGGCGCGACCGGCUGGCGCUGGUGACGGGGGCCUCGGGGGGCAUCGGCGCGGCCGUGGCCCGGGCCCUGGUCCAGCAGGGACUGAAGGUGGUGGGCUGCGCCCGCACUGUGGGCAACAUCGAGGAGCUGGCUGCUGAAUGUAAGAGUGCAGGCUACCCCGGGACUUUGAUCCCCUACAGAUGUGACCUAUCAAAUGAAGAGGACAUCCUCUCCAUGUUCUCAGCUAUCCGUUCUCAGCACAGCGGUGUAGACAUCUGCAUCAACAAUGCUGGCUUGGCCCGGCCUGACACCCUGCUCUCAGGCAGCACCAGCGGUUGGAAGGACAUGUUCAAUUAGACUUAGCACCUCACAGAUGCUUGGGCCUGGAAAUGAAGCCAUGAAAAUGAAGCCCUCAGCCUUCUUGGAGAUCAGAGCCAUGGUCCUCACCCACAGCACAUGGGUCUCUAAACCUGGACCUCAACUCGCCCAUCUGUAAAAUGAGGGACUUACAUUAAAUUCCUACAGCUCCUUUCAGCUUGA